CGACAAUUGGAGCCAGAUAACGUCGCUGGUCGUCACACUGGUCAGAGGAGUAAAUGGUAUGGUGGAUUAGAAGAGGCCUUGCCGUAACGUAAACAGAAGAAGUAAUCUGUAGUGAGAAAUUUUGUGGGGUUUUUGUACCCAGAGCUGUCAUUAAGGGCCUGUAGCUGGCCAAAAUUACUGCCCACUUGGCUAUCUGGCUGCCUACUUUUGUCUCAACAAAGUUCAUAUGAACAAAACUGUGAAUCAGUAAACAAACCUUUUACUUCCUGUACUUCAGAAC